UACGUAGGGGGCUAGCGUUGUUCGGAAUUACUGGGCGUAAAGCGCACGUAGGCGGCCAUUUAAGUUGGAGGUGAAAGCCUUGGGCUCAACCCAAGAAUUGCCUUUGAUACUGGAUGUCUCGAGACCGGGAGAGGUGAGUGGAAUUCCGAGUGUAGAGGUGAAAUUCGUAGAUAUUCGGAAGAACACCAGUGGCGAAGGCGGCUCGCUGGCCCGGUUCUGACGCUGAGGUGCGAAAGCGUGGGGAGCAAACAGG
rnacentral:rRNA from 1 species